UAAACUGAGCGACCUCAACUGUGAAUGGUCCUGGCGCACCAAAAAAAAAAAAAAAAAGUGUCAAGGGAAGGCAGUGUGGAUUUUGGUGUCACUCCUAUCAAAUCCCAUUGAGAGCACACAUAAUUGACAGAAAAACUAGAGUUGUUGCAUCAUGUUAUGUUGUUGUCCUCCGGUGGCUAGCUAGCAGAACGCGCACAGAAAUCAGAACCAUGGACAGUCACAUCAUAUUUAGCUUACUUUGACUGGACUGAAUGGAGAAUGCCGUUUUACGAUCCAGUAACCAAUUGUAGGACCUGAACCCUAGGACCAUGCCCCAGGGCUACCUGGCCUGAUGACUCCUUGCUUUCCUCAGUCCACCUGGCCGUGCUGCUGCUCCAGUUUCAACUAUUCUGCCUGCGGCUAUGGAACCCUGACCUGUUCACCGGACGUGCUACCUGUCCAAGACCUGCUGUUUUCAACUCUCUAGAAACAGCAGGAGUGGUAUAGAUACUUUGAAUGAUCGGCUAUGAAAAGACAACUGACAUUUACUCCUGAGGUGCUGACCUGUUGCACCCUCGACAACUGUGAUUAUUAUUAUUUGACCCUGCUGGUCAUCUAUGAACAUUUGAACAUCUUGGCAUGUUCUGUUAUAAUCUACACCCAGCACAGCCAGAAGAGGACUGGCCACCCCUCAUAGCCUGGUUCCUCUCUAGGUUUCUUCCUAGGUUCUGGCCUUUCUAGGGAGUUUUUCCUACUGUCACAGGCCGGCUCAUAGCCUGUGGCAAAAAUGAGAGGACAUCAACAACCGGUAUAGGCCAAUUAAAAAAAAGUAUUUAUUAUAAAACAAAACUAUUAAUUCUAAACAAAGAAAAAGGAAUGAGGUGUGGAAAUGUCAUAAUGUAGGGUGUAUGUAAGGUGCAUGGAUGCGUGAAUAUGUGUGUGUAAACAUGACUGAGUGGAAACUAAAUAAACCAACAAAGGAACAAUCAAAACAGGAUCAUACCUGGAGGAGCAGGGAGAGAGAGAGCAAGCCAAGCGAGGCGAGAGAGAGGAGGAACCGCCCCUGCACUGCAGAGGAGGAGCCGUGACACUACCCACCGUGCUUCUACACCUGCAUUGCUUGCUGUUUGGGGUUUUAGGCUGGGUUUCUGUACUUUGAGAUAUCAGCUGAUGUAAGAAGGGCUUUAUAAAUACAUUUGAUUUGAAUUUGAUUUGGGUAGGUCUUCCUGAAAACAAUGGCGCAAGGGAUAGUUAAUUGCACUACUGAAAUGCCCCUAAUCAAAACAAAAUAAAAACGGCCUAAACCCAGUCAGAAAACACUGAAAAUUGUACUUUUUUCAAUGUGUCAAUCACGCCCAAGUCUUCUGGGACCCACCAGCUAAGCCCAAGGGACACCUAGGGAGGCACUUGAACAUUCUCAGUGUCAUUCCAAAAAGUGAUCAAAUUCAACAUCUUCUCACAGACUCCAGCCUUGACUUCCUCUGCCUUUCAGAGACAUGGCCCCAUAAAAACUCUCCAUAUGCUGCUUUGAAUGUGCCUUCCUACAAUGUUUUCAGGAGAGACAGGACUGAAGGAUGAGGGGGUCUGAUGAUUUACAUUAAAGAACAUAUCCGAUGUAAACAAAUUGAAUGGUCAUGUGAUAAUGAACUAGAAUGUAUUAGCCUAAACGUUACUCUCUCCCCAAAUGUCUUUUACCCUUAUUGGACUUUAC
rnacentral:lncRNA from 1 species